GGGCUCGAACCGGCAACCUUCCGAUUACAAGGCGAACUCCCAACUCUUGAGCCACGAUCGCCCUAAAUGUACAGUGUUACUUGUACUGACCACAUUUUUUAAUAGUUCAGUCUAUCAGGGCGUUUGGAGAUGUCACCCAUGUGGCUGGGUGACUUUGGCUCCCACAUUUGGGUGAAGGAGGACUUUCUCCUCAUCAACAAUUUAUCUGGGGUUCAUGCCUGUGGUUGUGUGAGGUGUAAUCAGAAAUUGGAACAGGAAAAACCAGUCCAUGUAAUCCAAGAUUCCCGGGAGUCCGUCAGUAGUGACUGGACCCAUUAUGUGACCCAUAUAUUGGCCAGCAAAACCUAGGUGGAGUCUGGACCAUGAAUGGCUAGACCACUCCCAUGGAUGGAUUGGAGGUGGUGCCUGUAUUUGGUUUCUCUGAAAUUGAGAACAUACUUUUACCUUUUCCUCCAAAGAGCUCUGCAUUCCCGGGCACCACACUAAUGAUCUGGCAACAUUUUUAUUCAAGAAAUGCCUGGAUGAGCUUCAUGCAGCACUUCAAUCAUCUGUGUUCAUCCUGGGGUGGAACAAUGACUCUGGAACCCCACAUGAUGCAUCCAUCUUGAACACCGAGCUCCUGCUGAUGCUUGGCACAAGGUUUGCGCCCCUCCUGCUCAGCUGUUCCAUUUCCUGUUUACUAUGGUGUGAUGAGAAAACCUAAACAAAAACAUUUUAUGAUUUAAUAUAAACGUACCAGUCACCAGAAAUCUGUUUGUGCAGAUUUAUUAAACCUGGUAACACAAACUAGACCGAACUCAAGGAACUACCUCAAAAUGUCACGACGUCUGGCCAAAUCAGAACCAUUCAUGCACCUCGAAUAUCCAGCAUAUUGAAACACAAGUGACAGGUUCCAGUCAGGGGUAAGGUAAUAUAGUACAGAUUAUAUUAUGAAUGACACACUUAUUUUCCUACUUAUUAUAAAGCAAUUUAGAUAGAGCUGAUUCAGAUAACACGACCUUUCCUCUGGUGCCACCUUCAGAUUCAACCAGUUACAGUCUUUAUCAGGCGCGGCUUCAUUCCUCAUGCACAGUCCUGUCAUUCAGAAACGUACAUGGUAGAAGCACAGGUUUAUGUCAUCAUCCUACAACCAGGUGAACGGUGUUUGAAUGACCAUUUGUGGACAUUUUUAAACUUCAACUGACACGUUUUAAAGGAAGACACGUCAGGUUACAGAAGGAGGAGAGAACAUACCUGCUUAUCAUCUCAUCAAGACUUCGAUAUCACCCUAAAAAGAAACCAGACAACCUUUGCUUCACUGAAGGAGUGACAUCAGACCGAAGAAAUCAGUGAUGUCAGAGUCAUAUCAGUUAGAUGCACCGAUAGAGGAAGCGCUCCCGCUGAACUCUGUACCAGGAACAGGUGUUCAACAACCUGAGGACAGUGGCAAUCAAGUAAUCUGUGUCGGUGAGGACUCUCCUGCGUCCUGCUGCAGUGACAAGUACCACAGGAAGCUGGCCAUCUCUAGUAUCAUCUGCGGGUUCUCCUGCUUCGGAGUCCGAGCCUUGAUUUAUUCUGUAAAGGCUGAGAAUGCUGACAAAGCAGAGAAAGCCAAGCGGACAAGAGAAAGGAGAGCUGCAAAGUAUUUAAGACAGGCCAAAAAAUGGAGCAUCAUCUCCAUCGUGACAUGGGUUUCCAUUCUGGUGUCAGCGUCUUUGACACUGGUAUUACUGGUGCUGGUCCUAUCAAACCUGGGCUUUGAUUGACAAACCUCAGUGGAGCACAUCCAGGGGAGUGUCUUUAAAGAUUCUGAUCAACUAGAUCACUGAAGCUAUGGAGUAACUAAAAGUUACAAUAGCCUUAAAAAUACUGAAUUUGUUUAGCUUGUGCUGAAUGCACUCUAAUCAGCCUUUACAAGAACAAACAAAGCUGAAAAUCGUAUUAAAUGUAUUAAAACUGUUUGUUAUAUGCUGUAAUAUUUAUU